UACAGAGGUCCCAAGCGUUGUUCGGAUUUACUGGGCGUAAAGGGUGCGUAGGUGGCGAGGUAAGUUCGAUGUGAAAUCUCCGAGCUCAACUCGGAAAUGGCAUUGAAUACUAUCCCGCUUGAGGGUCGGAGGGGAGACUGGAAUUCUCGGUGUAGCAGUGAAAUGCGUAGAUAUCGAGAGGAACACCAGUGGCGAAGGCGAGUCUCUGGACGACUCCUGACACUGAGGCACGAAAGCUGGGGGAGCAACCAGG
rnacentral:rRNA from 1 species